AGAAAUCAAUCUCUGAAAGAUUUUCCUCACAGACUAGCCCUUGGCUCAGGCUCAGUAUGAAGGAGGGGCUCCUGGUUGUCAAGGCGUGUGAAGUCACUCACUGGAGUUAGCGAUAGUGCCAACUUUGGUCUCAAGGUUCAAUGGAAUGUUCAUCUCAGCUGUAGAAAAGAGGACAUGUGGAAAUCAGGGUACUGUUUGGGGUCCCAGUCACAACCUCUGGUCUUUAUGGCCCAAACUGUGGGAGCAGGAAAAGAGCAGCAGAUCCUGACAUGGAAUUGUGGUAAAUGGCAGGUGGUUUCCCCUGGGGAUGGCAGAGCAGGCCACUAGUGAUGACUGAACAGAGGAAUGACAGGGUGCAAAAGGAGAUUGUCACAAGUAAUUAUCCUUGAGUGGACACUGGGGUAAAGGGAGAGUCAGCCUGGUACAGUCACACCUUGUGGGGCUUUUCCACUUUAAAAUGUGUGGGGAGAAUAACUGUUUCCUCCAGCAGGAGAGUAUCAUCGGCCUUCCUGCAUCAAGGAAGAAUGAGGUGAAGUUACAUGUGGAGCAAGAGAACAUCCCUGAGUAGUGAAGGAUUAGUUGUUUGAUUUUUGUCUGCAUCAUUGGCCUGGCAGCUGUUCCUGCAUCUCCAUAUUACACGGGUACUCAGGGGCAGCGUGGUAAGAGGGAGCAGGAAAAUGGGAAGUGGAGGUGGUGAGGUUGCAAGUCAGAGCCCUGCCACUAAUUGAUCCCUGAUUCUAAGUGAGAGCAUCAUUGAAAGGAGCAGUGGAAGGGGAUAGGAUUCUGGGGGGGGUGGGGUGUUCCAGGUUAUCCCCUCCUUUCCUCUCUGUUUCACCUUCCUUUCUUUGCCUCAUCUCGCUCCUCUAUUUUUUCCAUGCCUUAGUCUUCCCUCAACCUCCCCAAAUAUUCUCUUAGUCAAACAGCUCCCCCAGAUUCUGAGGCAACCAUUCCUAAGCAGGUGGACCAGCUUCCUCUGGAAUUCACCAGUCUUCUCAUAACCUUCCCGGGACACCCCUGCCUCAUCAGUCCUUGGGGCCUCCACCAAGAUGGCUCUAGGUCAGUGGAAAAAAACGUGAUUUGGUGGAAAAAUGAAGAUGCAGGUGGAAUGAGAGUGCAUCCUCGGAAAGUGGAGUCAUGUGAGAGCAUCUGCAUUGCUGGCCUGGGAGUUGUCCCUGCAGCCCCAUUUUGCAGAGGGGAAGCAGGGGCAGCCUGGUGAGGGGGAGCAGGGAAAUUGGGUGUGAGAAGGUGGGGACUGAAGGUCUGAACCUCCAGCAGCACUGUCACUAGGUGACCCCGAUCCUUAGUGGGAGCACCGUUGAAGGGAGGAGUGGAAGGGUAUGGGAAUACUGGGAGACUCCAGAUUUUCCCCUCUUUUUCCUUUCUGCUCACCCUCCUUUUUUUGCCUCAUCUCUCUCCUCUAUUUUUCCUUUUUUCCCAUCCCUUUCUUUGUCUUCCCUAAGCCUCUCCAAAUACUCUCUUAGUCAAAUAGCUCCCCCAAGCUCCGAGGCCACUGUUCCUAGGCAGGUGGACCAGCGUCCUCUCGAAUUCACCAGGCUGCAGAUAACCAUCCUGAGACAUCCCUGACUCAUCAGUCCUUAGAACCUCCGCCAAGACGUUUCCAGGGCCAGCUUUGGUCUCAAGAGGGUCUAUGGAACAUUCAUCAGCAACAGGAGAGGACACAUAAAAUCAGGCAACUGUUUGGGAUCCCUGUCAGCACCACCUCUGGUCUUUAUAAUCCAAAUUGUGGGAGUGGGAAAAGAGGACUUUGUUUCAUGCAUAAGUCUUUCCCUGCAGCCUCUGAGAAAGAAAUCCACACUGGGUCUUCAAGGCCCGAGUGCUUGAAGGAGAGAGCAGGGUCACGCCCACCUUCUUUAUGGUGGAGGGAGAGAGAAAAGCAAAUAUAAGGA